rnacentral:rRNA from 1 species
ACUCCUACGGGAGGCAGCAGGUGGGGGAAUAUUGCACAAUGGGGGGAAACCCCUGAUGCAGCCAUGCCGCGUGUGUGAAGAAGGCCUUCGGGGUUGUAAAGCAGCUUUCAGUAGGGAGGAAGGUAGUGUAGUUAACACCUGCACUAUUUGACGUUACCUACAGAAGAAGCACCGGCUAACUCCGUGCCAGCAGCCGCGGUAAUACGGAGGGUGCGAGCGUUAAUCGGAAUUACUGGGCGUAAAGCGCAUGCAGGCGGCCCUGUUAAGUCAGAUGUGAAAGCCCGGGGCUUAA